rnacentral:rRNA from 1 species
AUUGAACGCUGGCGGUAGGCCUAACACAUGCAAGUCGAACGAGUGGCGGACGGGUGAGUAAUGUCUGGGAAACUGCCUGAUGGAGGGGGAUAACUACUGGAAACGGUAGCUAAUACCGCAUACCAUCAGAUGUGCCCAGAUGGGAUUAGCUAGUUGGUGGGGUAACGGCUCACCAAGUCGACGAUCCCUAGCUGGUCUGAGAGGAUGACCAGCCACACUGGAAUGGAGACACGGUCCAGACUCUGACGGUAGGCAACAGUGGGGAAUAUUGCAUAAUGGGCGCAAGCCUGAUUCAGCCAUGCCGCGUGUAUGAAGAAGGCCUGCGGGUUUUAAAGUACUUUCAUCUGGGAUGCGUUACCCUCAGAAGAAGCACCGGCUAACUCCGUGCCAGCAGCCGCGGUAAUUC